UGGGGAAUCUUAGACAAUGGGGGAAACCCUGAUCUAGCGAUGCCGCGUGUGUGACGAAGGCCUUAGGGUCGUAAAGCACUUUCGCCAGAGAUGAUAAUGACAGUAUCUGGUAAAGAAACCCCGGCUAACUCCGUGCCAGCAGCCGCGGUAAUACGGAGGG
rnacentral:rRNA from 1 species